ensembl:snRNA U6 U6 spliceosomal RNA
GUGCUCGCUUCAGCAGCACAUAUACUAAAAUUGGAACGAUACAGAGAAGAUUAGUGUGGCCCUUACUCAAGGAUAACACACAGAUUCAUGAAGAGUUCCAUAUUUAA